rnacentral:rRNA from 1 species
ACGGGAGGCAGCAGUGGGGAAUAUUGCACAAUGGGGGAAACCCUGAUGCAGCAACGCCGCGUGAGCGAUGAAGUAUUUCGGUAUGUAAAGCUCUAUCAGCAGGGAAGAAAAUGACGGUACCUGACUAAGAAGCACCGGCUAAAUACGUGCCAGCAGCCGCGGUAAUACGUAUGGUGCAAGCGUUAUCCGGAUUUACUGGGUGUAAAGGGAGCGUAGACGGAACAGCAAGUCUGAUGUGAAAGGUCAGGGCUCAACCCUGGAACUGCAUUGGAAACUGCUGAUCUGGAGUGCCGGAGGGGUAAGCGGAAUUCCUAGUGUAGCGGUGAAAUGCGUAGAUAUUAGGAGGAACACCAGUGGCGAAGGCGGCUUACUGGACGGUAACUGACGUUGAGGCUCGAAAGCGUGGGGAGCAAACAGGAUUAGAUACCCUGGUA